rnacentral:tRNA from 1 species
ACCUUCGUGGUGUAGUGGUCAGCACGCUCGACGCAUAACCGAGAGGUCCGUGGUUCGAUUCCCGGAGGAGACG